UAGGAAGAAUUUAAUUUUGGUUCCGAUUGAACGUUUUUCAGUAGUUUUAGACAUGCGAAUCGUUGUUUUCGACAUAUUUUAAUUUAAUUUUUUUAAAAUAUUAGAAAAUAAGGUGUAGAGGUGAGUAUGUUAAAUAAGAUACCCUAUAGUCUUCAUAAAUAGGAGAUAAUGAAAGGAAAUAAUUCUGCUAUAGGAUUCUAUUUAAUUUGAUUAUGGUAGUUGGUAGGGUAAAGGCCUACCAAGCCUACAAUCGAAAGUCAAGUUUGAAAGAACCUCUGGCCACAUUGGGAAUGAGAUCUCCCAAGUAGUGUAACACUACCAGCAGUCAAGAAUAUUAGUCAAUGCUCGCAAGAGUGAACUAGCUAACUGAAAUCAUAGAGUUUAUUAAAACUCAUGAUGUCGUAAGGGAAAAUAAUGAUAGUACCUUACUAAUAGUGUCGUCCAAAUCUGGUGCCAGAAGACUCGGUAAGACCAGAGACGCAAACGUUAAUCAUCAUAAACAGGCGUAAAGGGUUUGUAGGCAGCUUUCAGAAUACUAUAAUUAAAAAAAUAAAGUAGUAAAAUUGGAAGCUAGAAUCAAAAAGAGGUUAUAGUGUAUAACGCUUAGAGGAGGGCUGAUAUCCUUAGAUCCUAAGCAGAAUACUCAGGGCGAAGGCCACUUUCCACUAAUGAUUGACGCUGAGAAACGAAGGUUAGGGUAGGAAAUAGGAUGUUAGAUACCCCGGUACUCCUUUCUGUAAACGAUGAAUGGUAGUCAUUAGUUUAAUUAAAACUAGAGGCGAAGCUAACGCGUUAACCAUUCCGCCUUGUGAGUACUACUGCAAAGUAGAAAACAAAAAAAUUAGUCGGUCUCGAAGCAAACGGAGUGAAGCAUGUUAUUUAAUACGAUAAUCCGCGUAAAACCUUACCAGAACUUGCAUACAAACUUUUAAUAAGGAGUAUUUUAAAUUUUAAAAUACUUAAGUACAGGUGUUGCAUGGCUGUCUUCAGUUCGUGUUGUUAAACAUUAGGUUAAUUCCACUAACGAACGAAAUCCCUGUUAUUAAUUAAUUCUUAAUAACUAAUGAAUCUGAUAGAGAUUCAGCGGGGGCUAAGACAAGUCGUUAUGGCCCUCAUGUUCUGGGCUAUAGACGUGCCACUAUAACUUUUACAAAGUGACGCAAUACUUCUCAAAAGAAGUGGAGCUAAUCAUUAAAAAAAGUUAAGAUAUUAAUAUUAGACGGAUUGUCUCCUGUAAUUCGGAGGCAUGAAGAAGGAAUUCCGAGUAAUCGUUGAUUAGUAGCGCAACGGUGAAGCUAGUUUCGUGAUGAACUAACUGUCUGUCGCUGGGAAGAAGCCUUUAGUGGAGGAAACUGGGGGUAGAUAAGUUUAUUUCAUAGUUUAGUUUACGACUCAAGUUUUUUAGUCUUUAAAACAACUAUGUUAAGCUUAUUGGCUUUAGUUAAUUCGUUGAGGUAACAUCUCAAAAGUCAUAGCAGGGUAGCUGUACUGGAAAGUGCAGCUGGAUAAUAAA
rnacentral:rRNA from 1 species